UACGAAGGGGGGCUAGCGUUGCUCGGAAUCACUGGGCGUAAAGGGUGCGUAGGCGGACCUGCAAGUCGGGGGUGAAAGCCCGAGGCUCAACCUCGGAACUGCCUUCGAUACUGCGGGUCUCGAGUCCGGGAGAGGUGAGUGGAAUUCCUAGUGUAGAGGUGAAAUUCGUAGAUAUUAGGAAGAACACCAGUGGCGAAGGCGGCUCACUGGCCCGGUACUGACGCUGAGGCGCGAAAGCGUGGGGAGCAAACAGGG
rnacentral:rRNA from 1 species